AUCAGUUGAAGAUAAGGCACCGGCCUCCUAAGCCGGGGAUUGCGGGUUCGAGUCCCGUCGGAGAUG